rnacentral:rRNA from 1 species
CCUACGGGAGGCAGCAGUGAGGAAUAUUGGACAAUGGGCGCAAGCCUGAUCCAGCCAUGCCGCGUGCAGGAUGACGGUCCUAUGGAUUGUAAACUGCUUUUGCACAGGAAGAAACAACGCUACGUGUAGCGUCUUGACGGUACUGUGAGAAUAAGGAUCGGCUAACUCCGUGCCAGCAGCCGCGGUAAUACGGAGGAUCCAAGCGUUAUCCGGAAUCAUUGGGUUUAAAGGGUCCGUAGGCGGUUUAGUAAGUCAGUGGUGAAAGCCCAUCGCUCAACGGUGGAACGGCCAUUGAUACUGCUAGACUUGAAUUAUUAGGAAGUAACUAGAAUAUGUAGUGUAGCGGUGAAAUGCUUAGAGAUUACAUGGAAUACCAAUUGCGAAGGCAGGUUACUACUAAUGGAUUGACGCUGAUGGACGAAAGCGUGGGUAGCGAACAGGAUUAGAUACCCUGGUAGUCCACGCCGUAAACGAUGGAUACUAGCUGUUGGGAGCGAUCUCAGUGGCUAAGCGAAAGUGAUAAGUAUCCCACCUGGGGAGUACGUUCGCAGAAUGAAACUCAAAGGAAUUGACGGNNGAGAGNGCGAGGACGACGACGAGGGAGGAGG